rnacentral:rRNA from 1 species
AGAGUUUGAUCCUGGCUCAGGACGAACGCUGGCGGCGUGCCUAAUACAUGCAAGUCGAGCGGACGAAUCGAAAGCUUGCUUUUGAUUCGUUAGCGGCGGACGGGUGAGUAACACGUGGGCAACCUGCCCUGUAGACGGGGAUAACACCGAGAAAUCGGUGCUAAUACCGGAUAACACGAAAUGUCGCAUGACGUUUCGUUGAAAGACGGCGCAAGCUGUCGCUACAGGAUGGGCCCGCGGCGCAUUAGCUAGUUGGUGAGGUAACGGCUCACCAAGGCGACGAUGCGUAGCCGACCUGAGAGGGUGAUCGGCUACACUGGGACUGAGACACGGCCCAGACUCCUACGGGAGGCAGCAGUAGGGAAUCUUCCGCAAUGGACGAAAGUCUGACGGAGCAACGCCGCGUGAGCGAAGAAGGCCUUCGGGUCGUAAAGCUCUGUUGUUAGGGAAGAACAAGUAACGCAGUAACUGGCGUUACCGUGACGGUACCUAACGAGAAAGCCACGGCUAACUACGUGCCAGCAGCCGCGGU